rnacentral:rRNA from 1 species
UGGGGAAUAUUGGACAAUGGGCGAAAGCCUGAUCCAGCCAUGCCGCGUGUGUGAAGAAGGUCUUCGGAUUGUAAAGCACUUUAAGUUGGGAGGAAGGGCAUUAACCUAAUACGUUAGUGUUUUGACGUUACCGACAGAAUAAGCACCGGCUAACUCUGUGCCAGCAGCCGCGGUAAUACAGAGGGUGCAAGCGUUAAUCGGAAUUACUGGGCGUAAAGCGCGCGUAGGUGGUUUGUUAAGUUGGAUGUGAAAUCCCCGGGCUCAACCUGGGAACUACAUUCAAAACUGACUGACUAGAGUAUGGUAGAGGGUGGUGGAAUUUCCUGUGUAGCGGUGAAAUGCGUAGAUAUAGGAAGGAACACCAGUGGCGAAGGCGACCACCUGGACUAAUACUGACACUGAGGUGCGAAAGCGUGGGGAGCAAACA